AGUCCGUUGCCAGAGCAAGGGCAAUUGCAACUCGUACUUAAGUUUUGUUAUGGCCCUUCUUCUCACUCCCCUUCUGCCGGAGAUAGUAUUUUGUGCAAUACAUACAACAUGGUGUACCUGUUUCCCUCACAAACGUGUGGAGCCCACGAGACUUGUGGCUCUAUGGGGCCCACAUGUUUGUGUCUUUGUGAGGGAAACAGGUACAUCACGUUGGUGUACCUGCUACACAAAAUAUAUUCUCGAGGUCGGUUUUCAACACGAGCAUAUCCGGCAAAACGGAAUCGGACGGCUUUUGGGAACCGGGUGAAUUGACACCAAAUUGUUUGAUCCAUUGGUGUGAUUUAGAAUGGCGACAGAGAGUCAGGU
rnacentral:lncRNA from 1 species